GCUAUCAGGCGUCGAGCGGCGGACGGGUGAGUAAUACUUAGGAAUCUACCUAGUAGUGGGGGAUAGCACGGGGAAACUCGUAUUAAUACCGCAUACGACCUACGGGAGAAAGGGGGCAGUUUACUGCUCUCGCUAUUAGAUGAGCCUAAGUCGGAUUAGCUAGAUGGUGGGGUAAAGGCCUACCAUGGCGACGAUCUGUAGCUGGUCUGAGAGGAUGAUCAGCCACACCGGGACUGAGACACGGCCCGGACUCCUACGGGAGGCAGCAGUGGGGAAUAUUGGACAAUGGGGGAAACCCUGAUCCAGCCAUGCCGCGUGUGUGAAGAAGGCCUUUUGGUUGUAAAGCACUUUAAGCAGUGAAGAAGACUCCGUGGUUAAUACCCACGGACGAUGACAUUAGCUGCAGAAUAAGCACCGGCUAACUCUGUGCCAGCAGCCGCGGUAAUACAGAGGGUGCAAGCGUUAAUCGGAAUUACUGGGCGUAAAGGGAGCGUAGGUGGCUCGAUAAGUCAGAUGUGAAAUCCCCGGGCUCAACCUGGGAACUGCAUCUGAUACUGUUGAGCUAGAGUAUGUGAGAGGAAGGUAGAAUUCCAGGUGUAGCGGUG
rnacentral:rRNA from 1 species